rnacentral:tRNA from 1 species
GGGGAUUUAGCUCAGUGGUAGAGCGCUUGCCUAGCAAGCGCAAGGCCCUGGGUUCGGUCCUCAGCCCCA